rnacentral:rRNA from 1 species
UGGUGACCUGCGGAGGGAUCAUUA